rnacentral:lncRNA from 1 species
UGGAUGCAGCACUGCUGGUAGCACUGUGGUGCUGCUUGUUACUGGUGGAGUGGAGCGCCAGGAGCUGCUUCUGCGAUGGGGCUGUUCCCAGGCAGUUGGGUGCCUAAGUGAAGUGUGCCAUAACUAACUGGUUGAGGGCUCUCUUUAAAAGGGGUCAAGUUUUUGUGAAUUUGAGUUUCUGUUAAUGCCUCAUAAACACAUGUUUCCCUAACAGCAUUGGAGCUGGACACCUCAGUUACCAGUGGACUGAACAGAAGUUUCUCCUAGUGACCUGCUAAGGAAACAGGAGUGGGCCACAAGGCCCACGAAGGGCUGUGCAGUGGCCAGAUGGGUCCUAGAGAGUGGCCACCUGCUAUUUAGCCUUGACCUGGCUGUUCAUGUGCUCCAGCUGCUCCCUGCGCCCUUUGCCUCCAGCCUCCUGCUGACUAGGGGGCGUCUAGCAGUGGGGCGGAAAGGCCUCUCUGGAGUUGUGCUGGUGCUCCUCCUUCCUUGGGUCACUUCUCCCAGCUGUUGCCAGCCCGGCCUGAAGUGGUUCCCCACCAGCUUUGGUGGCCCGCCCUCAGUCCUCUUUUCUGCUCUUGUGUGCAGUUACAGGUUUUCAUGUCCCCUCUCCACUGAGGCCAGGCGGGGUCCCUAGUCUGCCCUUGUUAGACUCUCUGGAAGCCCCAGGGUCCCCAGCGUCAGCCUGUGCGUGCCGCCUUCUGUAGGUAGUUGCUGUUGAUAGUGAACCACGGGACGGAGCGCAAGGGACUUAGCCACGCUUCCUCAGUAGGUCACACGGUUGCUUCUUUGCGCGCUGGUAGCUUCUGAGAGAGACGAAGGGCGGCCUUUUCACCUGCUGAUUCUUUCCAGGUGAAGCCAGACCUGUUUAUAACUGAGUCUGCUGGUCACACCUAGUGCCAUAGAACACCCCACUUGUUCUGUAGAAUGCAGAGCUCCUUGGUUUGUUGACAAAUUUGGUAUGAAGAGAAUCCAGCUUGAAGGUAGGUUCUUUAAAUGGAAUUUCUUGGAGAAAGCACCAUUCAGCUCAUUAAUUCUCAAGUUGAAAUGCCUUCACUAAAAUAUGGUUUUCUUUAGCACAGUUCUACCUUUUAAUAUGUCAAGAUUGCAUUCAGAGGUUGGUUAAAAGCUGAAAGUAUGUUGCCAAGCUUCCAAAUUGCAGGCUCAGAAAUCCUUUGAAAGGGAAAGAGUGGGUGUGGGAAAGUGGGAGGAAGCGGUUACCCAGAAGGCAGCUUUCCUCUGGGCCAAGUUGAUAAGGUCUUAGUUUUGUUUUUAUUAUUGAAACAAUUGCUCUGUUAAACAAAGAGAGUGAGAAAAUGAUUAUAGUAGUCUUCUCUUAAAAAAGUAUUUCUUUAAAAGGGAGCUAUCAAGGGACAGUUCUUCCUCUCUGAGGAAAUUACUUCUGGGAGGCUGUUUUGUUCAACCUUUCUUGACUGUGUUUUGGGAAGUGCUGGGUGGUGUGAUCAGGGGAUGGCAGAGAGUUUGUGAGGAAUAAGUCGAAGUUUGGGAAUUGCUUCUGCUCAUCUGACACAGUGACUCGACCCUGGUGACAGUUGAUAAGUGGGUUCUCCCGGGUAUGGAUCCAAAUUGAAGGCCUGCUGGUGUGGCUCUUGGGUCCAAACAGGGUGUUAAAAGUAGGGGGACUUCCUGUGAAAACCCAGAGGGCUGGUUCUGCUUCAUCUUGCUUCUGCUGAGCCUGGGGCUGGAAGAGGGCAGGGUGCCAAGGGAGAGCAGCGCCUGUUGUCCUGUACACCUGGGCAGAGCUUUGGGCAGACCAUCGUUCACAGACAUUUUCAAAUCAGAUGCAAAAGACAGCAAGAGCGGUAUACUGGUUUCCUGGUUUGUACCAGUCUCUGUAUAGUCUGACUUUAUGUGUAAUAAAAGCAUUUAUUAUUUCUUUUUUUUUUAAUAUUUAUUUUUUAGUUGUAUACAAUACCUUUAUUUUUUAAUUUUUUUUUUUUUAAUGUGGUGCUGAGGAUCGAACCCAGGGCCUCACACGUGCUAGGCAAGCGUUCUACCACUGACCACAACCCCAGCCCUAUUAUUUCUUUUUGUGGGGGACACUGGGGAUUGAACCCGGGGCACUUUUUAACACCAAGUUUUAUUUUUUAUUUUGAAACAGGGACUCACCACGUUACCUAGGACCUUGCUAAGUUGCUGAGGCCCCUGGGCUUUCAAUCCUGCCUCAGCCUCUGGCGUGCUGGGAUUACAGGAGAUGUGCCACUGGGCCUGGCACACCUUUUAUUUCACGUGAACUUUUUCCCUUGAAGCUAACGAUUGUCC